GCCGAGCGCGAAUGGAGCAAUCCUAGUAGAGCGGCGCACGGGUGCGUAACACGUGGGUAAUCUGCCUGGAAGAUCGGAAUAACCUGCCGAAAGGCAAGCUAAUACCGGAUAAGCCCACAGGGUCUUCGGACCUCGAGGGAAAAGAUGGCCUCUGUACACAAGCUAUCACUUCCAGAUGAGCCCGCGGCCCAUCAGCUAGUUGGCGGGGUAAUGGCCCACCAAGGCAACGACGGGUAGCUGGUCUGAGAGGACGAUCAGCCACACUGGAACUGAGACACGGUCCAGACUCCUACGGGAGGCAGCAGUGGGGAAUUUUGCGCAAUGGGCGAAAGCCUGACGCAGCAACGCCGCGUGUGUGAUGAAGGUCUUCGGAUUGUAAAGCACUUUCGACCGGGACGAAAACCCGUUGGCUAACAUCCAACGGCUUGACGGUACCGGGAGAAGAAGCACCGGCUAACUCUGUGCCAGCAGCCGCGGUAAUACAGAGGGUGCAAGCGUUGUUCGGAAUUAUUGGGCGUAAAGCGCGUGUAGGCGGCUUUGCAAGUCGGGUGUGAAAGCCCUCAGCUUAACUGAGGAAGUGCGCCCGAAACUGCAGAGCUUGAGUACCGGAGAGGAUGGUGGAAUUCCCCAAGUAGAGGUGAAAUUCGUAGAUAUGGGGAGGAACACCGGUGGCGAAGGCGACCAUCUGGACGGAUACUGACGCUGAGACGCGAAAGCGUGGGUAGCAAACAGGAUUAGAUACCCUGGUAGUCCACGCCGUAAACGAUGAGAACUAGGUGUCGUGGGUGUU
rnacentral:rRNA from 1 species